rnacentral:rRNA from 1 species
AUGGCUGCGCUCCACCGCCUCCUUCUCCUCCUCCUUCCUCUCGUCGGCCUCCUAGUUCUACUCCCACUCCCGAUUGCCGCCUUCGACGACGCCAGUUACCUCCUCGCCGCCAAGGCUGUGCUCUCUGACCCCGCCGGCGCCCUCUCCGUCUGGGAUGCCGGGUCCAGCCAUUCCCUCUGCGCGUGGCCGCACGUGUUGUGCGCCGGAAAAUCCACCGCCGUGGCCGGGCUCUACCUCGUCAAGCUCUCCCUCGCCGGCGGCUUCCCGGCCUCGGUUUGCUCGUUGAGGUCCCUGCAGCACCUCGACCUCUCCCAGAACGACCUAGUGGGCCCUCUGCCCGCCUGCCUCACCGCCCUCCCUGCACUCUUGAACCUCACCCUCGCCGGGAACGGCUUCUCCGGCGAGGUCCCGCCGGCUUACGGCGGCGGCUUCCGGUCGCUCGUCGUGCUCAACCUGGUCCAGAACUCCAUCUCCGGCGAGUUCCCCUGGUUCCUGGCCAAAAUCAGCACCCUCCAGGAGCUCCUGCUCGCCUACAACGCGUUCACGCCGUCGCCGUUGCCGGAGAAGCUCGGCGACCUCGCCGACCUCCGGGAGCUGUUUCUCGCCAACUGCUCCCUGAGCGGUAAAAUCCCUCCUUCCAUCGGAAACCUCGGGAAUCUCGUCAAUCUGGACCUCUCCAUGAACGCCCUCUCCGGCGAGAUACCCAGGAGCAUUGGGAAUUUGAGUUCUCUGGUCCAGAUGGAGCUCUACAAGAACCAGCUCUCCGGGAGGAUACCGGUGGGGCUGGGGGGUCUCAAGAAGCUCCGGUUCUUGGACAUCUCCAUGAACCGGCUAACCGGCGAGAUACCGGAGGACAUUUUCGCCGCGCCAAGCCUGGAGAGCGUGCACAUUUAUCAGAACAACCUGACCGGGCGCUUGCCGGCGUCGCUGGGGGCGGCGACGCGUCUUGCCGAUCUAAGGAUGUUCGGCAACCAGAUCGAGGGGCCGUUCCCGCCGGAGUUCGGGAAGCAUUGCCCCCUCGGGUUCCUGGACAUGUCGGACAACCGUAUGUCGGGACCAAUCCCGGCGACGCUGUGCGCUUCAGGGAAGCUGGCGCAGCUCAUGCUGCUGGACAACCAGUUCGAGGGCGCCAUUCCGGCGGAGUUCGGGCAAUGCCGGACACUGACGAGGGUCCGGCUGCAGAACAACCGCCUCUCCGGGUCCGUGCCGCCGGAAUUCUGGGCGCUUCCUCUUGUCCAGAUGCUCGAGCUUCGUUCCAAUGCUCUGUCCGGCACGGUCGAUCCUGCCAUUGGCGGUGCCAAGAACCUGUUCGACCUGCUCAUACAGGGCAACCGAUUCACCGGCGUUCUGCCAGCCGAGCUGGGGAAUUUGUCCUUGCUGCGAAGGCUUCUUGCAUCAGACAACAACUUCUCCGGUCCGGUGCCGCCGUCGCUCGUCGAGCUUUCUGAGCUAUCCCAGCUCGACCUGAGCAACAAUUCCCUCUCCGGGGAGAUCCCACGGAAGAUUGGACAGCUGAAGCAGCUGACAGUGCUGAACCUUUCGCACAACCACCUCGCCGGGACGAUCCCUCCAGAGCUCGGGGAAAUCCACCGGAUGAACUCGCUGGACUUGUCGGAGAACGAGCUCUCCGGCGAGGUGCCCGUGCAACUGCAGAAUCUCGUGCUCUCUGCUUUCAACCUGUCGUAUAACAAGCUCAGUGGACCUCUGCCUCUCUUCUUCAGUGCCACGUACCAGCAGAGCUUCUUGGGUAACCCCGGCCUGUGCCAUGGGGUAUGCGCAGGCAACGACGACCACGGUGCCAUCCCAGCCGCCAGAGUCCACCUGAUCGUCUCCAUCCUCGCGGCAUCUGCCAUCGUCCUGCUCAUGGGUUUAGCAUGGUUCACUUACAAGUACAGAAGCUACAAGAAGCGUGCCGCUGAAAUCAGUGCUGUCGAGUCAAGUUGGGACCUCACAUCCUUCCACAAGGUGGAGUUCAGUGAGAUGGACAUAGUGAACAGCCUCGACGAGAACAACGUGAUCGGCAAGGGUGCGGCAGGGAAGGUGUACAAGGUGGUUGUUGGGCCUAGCAGUGAGGCCAUGGCUGUCAAGAAGCUCUGGGACAGCGACGUCGAAAGCAAGAAGAAGAGGAACGAUACUUUUGAGGCUGAGGUGGCCACACUGAGCAAUGUCAGGCACAAGAACAUCGUCAAGCUCUUCUGCUGCGUGACCAACGGCACCUGCCGGCUGCUUGUCUACGAGUACAUGCCGAAUGGCAGCCUGGGGGACUUCCUCCACAGUGCCAAAGCCGGCAUCCUGGAUUGGCCAACGAGGUAUAAGAUCGCGGUCCAUGCCGCCGAGGGCCUCUCCUACUUGCACCAUGACUGCGUGCCCUCGAUCGUCCACCGGGACGUGAAGUCGAACAACAUUUUGCUCGAUGCGGAGUUCGGCGCAAAGGUUGCGGACUUUGGUGUUGCAAAGACUAUUGAGAAUGGGCCGGCCACCAUGUCAGUCAUCGCUGGCUCCUGUGGUUACAUUGCUCCUGAGUAUGCCUACACCCUCCAUGUAACCGAGAAGAGCGACGUGUACAGCUUUGGCGUGGUCAUUCUGGAGCUCGUCACCGGCAAGAGGCCCAUGGCGCCAGAGAUCGGCGAGAAGCACCUGGUGGUCUGGGUUUGCGACAAUGUCGAUCAGCAUGGUGCGGAGUCUGUUCUUGAUCACAGGCUUGUUGGCCAGUCCCAUGAUGAGAUGUGCAAGGUUCUGAACAUCGGCCUGCUGUGCGUCAACACCGUCCCGACCAAACGUCCACCGAUGAGGGCUGUGGUGAAGAUGCUGCAAGAGGUUGGGGGACAGAACAAGCCCAAGGCGAAGGAGGAGGUGGCCCCUUCUCUCUGA